GGCUUAGCUCCCCACCGGCUCUGUGAGCCGCACCCGAGGUGCUACGUGGUUCUUUUUACAAAAGCUGCCCACCCAGAGGCUGCUCCCGCAUCCAGAGCCACAGAAACAUCUGCUGCCUUCCUCCCUGCCUGACCGGGCCUGGGCCAGGCGCCUCCCAGCCCUCUGGGGUCCCGGCUGCUCCCCCAUACUCAAGUCUCACCCCGAUUUGGUUAAACGUGACGACUGAAUCAUCUGGUUUCCAAGCAGCUAAAAUAACUCAAGAAAACAAAAACGCAUCACUUUUCACACAGAAAGCUCAACCGCCCAGGGCGACGCACUCACUCGUCCCCAGUGGCCCGGGAAGCAGCACGGUGAGGGGCAUCCCACGCUCUGGUCCCAAAUCCACGGUUCCCAAGGACUCGGCCCCGAUCCUGGGCAAAUCCUCUCCCACCAGGCUGGGCCGGGUCUCUGUCACAGGGUGAGGACCCAGUCUGGAUCCCCACCAGCCACCACUGGCCAUCGCUGUGAACUCCUGUCCAACUGACACAUCCUGGCCCUCAGGGAGGCUGAGGAGGACAGUCCUGGCAAGUUGCAAGCCUGGCUGCACCAUGGGUCGGAGACCACCCUGUCUUCCAGGACACAGCACCUCAGCGUCUUCGAAGCAGACCACAUUGAGGGGGACAGUGUGACUGUGUCCCCCUGACACCUCACCCCACCUCAGGGACAGACACUUCCAGAUGGGAGGAAGCUGAGGUCUGCAGAGCGUCCCUGUGUCCAGGCUUCGGCCCCACAUGUCCACCUGGAGCCCCGAGCCACCUCCGCCGGGACCCGACGCCAGGAGCCGCCCAUCCCCGGUGUCGCCCCGGGCUGGGACAAACGCUCAUUCUUAGUGGGAAACAAUGCGUCACAUGUCCCAGCCGCCACGACCCGCGUCACCCAUCUGAUGUCCACCCGCCCGGACACCAAGGCCAGCUGGUGAUGCCGCGUGGCUGCUGCCCACAGCUUCCUGCCUCUUCCUCAGGACACCAUAAUUCUUAUCAGCGAGUUGGUCGCGCACCCCGCUGUCCUGAGGCCCGCGCCUGGCGGGUCCCCAAGCCCGCAGGAAGGUCACUCACGGUCCCCUUCUCCGUGGCCGAGCAGUGCUGCACGUGUGACCACCUCAUCUGCACCCUUUCCUCUGUGGAUGGACACGCGGGCUCCUGUGCUGUGAGGACCACAGCUCCCAUCCUCAAGUUGGGUUUUCCUUUUAGAGACAGGGUCUCUCUGGGUCACUACAUUGACCAGGCUGGGCUCCCAUUUCAGAGCCUUCUGCCUCAGCCUCGCGGAGGGCCCAGUCUGACCCUCUGGCAGAUGUAAAUGAGUUGAGUGGACACAGUGUGAGGAGUUCUCCUUGCCUCUGUCAGCUCUCACACACCUCCAGGACCUGAACCAGAGGCCCUCCCACCUCGUCCCCGUCCCCAGGGAAGGGCCAUUUCCAGACCCUGCAGCCCACAACAGCCAGAAAGCAGCGUCAGCCUGUGUCAUGCCAAGGCCAAGGUGUGAGCUGUGGCACAGGGCCUGAGGGACCAAGGUCCUGGUACUGCCCACGGCUCCAGCCAGGCCUCUGCAAGGCAGACCCGCCGAUCACUUUGGUUGGCUCCAGAGGCCCAGGGAGAUGGAAAUCAGUGAGCUCUUGCACCUCUCCUCUCCUGUUUUUUGUUUGAGUCAGGAUCUCACGAUGUAGCCCAGGCAGACAUCACAUCAAAUUCCCCGAGAUCCUCCUGCCUCAGCCUUUCCACUGCCGGGCUCAGGUUUCUCUGGAAAUGCAGGCUCCAGUGAGCGGUCUCUGCAGGGCUCUGAGUGGCUUUUGGAUUUCUCAGCGGUGUCUGGUUGGGGCACCCACAGGUCUGGUAGGGCAGAGCUGUCACUCGAGCAAAUGGCCUCUGGUAACCCUGUACUCUGUGCUGCCAGGAGGCCCUCAGAGACUCAGCACAACCAGUACUUACCGUGGGUUGCCUCAGGGAGAGUCAGUACUUAGCAACUCUCACUGCGGCAGGGCCGGGACUGGCCUCAGCGAGACAGCGAGUACUAGCGAAAAGGCAGCCCAGCGCCCCAGCUGGAGAGCCCGCAGGCGGGGAAGUGGGCAUCAGGUUGCACUGCUGGGGUCUUGCCUACUCAGGAGGCUGAGGCAGGAGGGCCUCAAGGUCGGCCUGGGCCACACAGCAAGGCCCUGUCUCAAAGCAAAGACAAACAACAGGCCGCUGAAUCUGGAAACAGAUCCAGUUUGCCGAGAAAAGCCCACGCAAGGAGGGCUGCAGUGCCCUCUCCCCUUCUUGCUCCAACCCAAGCCCCAGGCUCAGGCAGGUGCUGCCCUCUGUCCCUACUGCUGCCCCCUGCCCAGGCCUCGUCAGGGGUGCAGGCCCAGCAUUUCCAGCAGAUGUGGUGGCACACGCCUGUGAUCCCAGCACUGUGGGAGGCUGAGGCAGGAGGAUCUGUGUGAGUGUUCCUCACUGGGACUCGGGACCAGGACCAGACAGUGGCUUCCGAGCACAGCACUGAGUUCUGCCGGCCAUGCUGGGCGAUGCAAGCUGUGGAGUUCUGUUCUGCUCCGAGAGACUGCCCUGGUGUCAGUGCCACGUUCACAAAAGCAAAGUCCUCAGGUGCACUGUCCUCGACUGUCCUAGAGUCCUCACUGCCAUGUGCAACUUGACUCCCUGAGUCACUUGCCCAAGUCACUCAACAAACACGGAGCAGGAACAGAACUCGGUUACCAAACCAGGGAUGGCUACAGUGAGUUUAGGCCCAGCCUGGGCCACAUUGGGAGGUCCGUGCCUCAAAAACCCAAACCCAAAUGGAACAGAAAGAGGCGGCCACCUGCUACUUGUCCUGGGCGAGGCUGGCCUGGACUGGGCUGGGGCCUGGCUGCUGCUUUUUCGAGGGGCUGGGUCUGCUCAUCGGUGGAGAGUAGGGAGCUGCUGCCCUUGUCCAGGAGCCUGGCCACAGUGGAAGGUCCUUCGCUCCCUCCCUCUGCAGGCACAGGCCGGGCUGUUCAGGGAGAACGAAUGAACGCAAUCAUAGGCAGGCAGGUUGACUUUCAAAUUAUCUAGGAAAGCAGGGAUCAGGGAUCUUACAGAUGCAGCCACAAGCUGGGUGUGGUGGUACACGAGUGUAGUGCCGGCACUCUGGGAGGCUGAGGCAGGAAGAUCACAGGUUUGAGUUCAACCAGGGCUACUCAGUGAGACUGUCUCGAAAUAAAAAAUAAAAAGGGCUGGGGAUGCAGUGCAGCGUGAAGGCACAGGGUCCAGACAGAGCAUCGAUGUGGCUUGGAAGCCUAAAGCGAUUGGCUACCCUGGAAAACCACAGAGCCCCUUCCAGGCCGCUGAGAUCACCAUUUCCGUAGAUCGCCCAGAGCACAUGUGAUCUUUUCUUUGGAGACUGGGUCUUAGCAAGCUCGCCAGCAUGGCCUCAAGCUCACGAGCCUCCUGCCCCAGUCUCCUGAGGAGCUGGGACUGCAAGUGCAGCCAAUGUGCCCAACUUCCCAUCUUCCCUGUUCCCGACUAGGCUUUUGCUUGUGACAGGGUGUCCUUGAACUCAUCAGUCCUCCUGCCGCAGUUUACCAGCCCUGGGGUUUUAGGCACAUGCCCCCAUGCCCAGCCCUGCUGGGGACCACCCUGGUCCAAACCUUCAAGAGCUCAUGGUGGGCAGUAGUCCUUUCUUGCUGGUUUGACUCGUAUGACUUUGUUCGAGGCGCAUUGUUUGGCCCCUCUCAACCCCAUUCCUUUACAUGGCUACGUAGUGUUCUAUUCCUCUGCACCCUGAUGGACCCCAGGUUCUCUUCACUCCUGGACAACUGUUUCUGUAGACAUCUGUGCCCUGAUUUCCAUGGGGAAGGACUAAUGUUUUUAUUUCUCUCAGGUUUAUGCCCAGGAAGCAAACAGCUUGCUCAUUUGUUUCAGAAACUCCCACAUCACUUUCCAAAAUGACCGAUCUGCUUUACACUGCCCCAGGGACACGCCAGGGCUCUGGUUACCACGCAUCCCGGCGCACACUUCCAAGGACACCUUGUUUUGGUCCCAGCUGCCCAGCAGGCGGGAAGCUGUGCCUCAUCGCAGUUUUUGUUGGUACUUCCUGAUGGCCAGUAAGGCCACACACUGGGCACUUCCAUCCCUUUUGGGAAAAGUCUUACUUCUUGAGUGGUGAGGGCCUUUGAUAUAUUCUUCCCUGGUGCCCUGGGCUUGCACUCUCUCAUUAGGCUGGUUGUCUCCCUACCUUCUUUGAAUCAAAAGACUCGACAGCUUGGGUGGAGCCCAGCUUCCCACUCUCCUGUUGUCUAGGCCUCUAGCAUCAUUUCGAGAAACCCGAACUCAAAGCCAUGAGGAUUGAGCCCCGCUUUCUUCCUGAGAGCUUUGUUUGCGGUCUGAUCUUCGUACGGUGUAGGGACCAAGCUCCCUUCCCUACACGGUUCAUGUGACGUGUCAGAAUUCCUGCUCCGGCUCUUGCAGCUCAUCCUCCUGCCUCCUCGUGCCACCAGGGCUGCUGUCUUGGUCACACUGCUGCUUCCUCCUGCACCCUGGAACUGGAGACAUAAGCGUUCCCUCCGCGGCUGGCAUGGCCUGCUGUCCAGUUUCCUGUGCUUCUCCAGGACCCACAAGGCCAGCUGAUGGCUGCACAUGUCAGGACCUGGGGGAAUGCACUCUUCCCACUCAUGGCCACAGACGUCUGCUUGUUCAAUCUUUAAUGUCAUCCAGAGUGUCCAUUCUCAGUCUAAGUGUUUCCAUCCCUCUGCUAAAUUUAUUUUCUUUUUUGGUCUUUUUCCUUUUUAUCGGUACCGGGGAUCGAACUCAUGACUGCCUGCUUGCAAGGCACGCGCUUAUGCCACUGAGCUACACUUCCAGCCCUGCUAAAUUUAUUCUUGUUUUAUUCCUUUUGGUGCUACUUAUUUCACUUUGAUUUUCCUUGGAAUCAUAUGGAACUGCAGCUGAUUUCUGUGUAUUUAUCUUGUGUCCUGCUACACUGAUGAGCCUGUUUGCUAACUCUGAGUUUUAGUGGUGGCAGCUCAGGGUUUUCUAUGCACAAGAUCAUACCACAGGAAGCAGAAACGGCUGGGUUCCUCCCCAGCAGGGCUGCCAUUUACUUUGCCUAACCGCCCUGGCCACAGCCUCCUGACCAGAAAGAGGGCCGAAGCUGCCUGGCUUCAGACAGUGGGAAAGGUGCCCGGUGUUACACCAGGAAGACAAUGCCAACGUGAGGCUCUCACCGGCGCCCUGCACAAGGCCAAGAAAGGGCCUCUUCGCCACUCUAGGAGUUAUGGCGAAAGGGAAUGCAUUCUGUUAGGGCCUUUUUUGCAUCUAUGGAAAUGUAUUUUCCUCAUUCUAUUGAUAUGACAUUGAUUUUUACAUUUCCCACCAGUAGCAUAUAAAAAUGGCAUUCAACUUUUUUACGAACAAGUAUCAUGUGACAACUCAACUAAAAGUACAGUGGAAAUAAUCCCAUCUGCACAACUAAAUCAUGGAGUUAAGGGUAACAGCAAUGCACAACACAGUUGACGUGGCAGUGCACACCUGUGACCCCAGCACCCUGGUAGGCUGACAGAGGACUGCAAGUCUGAGGCCAGCAACUUGUUGAGAUCUUCUCAAACAAAACAAAACAAAACAAAAGGUGGUGGUGGUGAUGGGGCCCUGCAGCCUGGCACAAAAGCCCUGGGUAAAUCCCCAGCACCACCCAACCAAACCAAACCAAAAACUUAACCUUUCUUGCCACUAAUAUUUCAAUAACCUAUUAUUAUUUUGAGACAGUGUCUCACCAUGUAGUUCAGGCUGGUGAUCCUCCAGCCUCAGCCUCCCAACUGCUGAAGAUUAUAGGCAUGCACCAGCAUGCUCAGCUGGGCAUUAAUAUUAACAAUUCUUAAGAACCAAUUUUGUUUAAAAUCAUCUGCAGUGCUGCAUAGGCCACAAGUGUCAGCGUCUAGAAUUUAAAAGGUCCUAUAUAGAAAGUAACACUUGGAGGAAAUGUGGGCUGCUUUUACUGUGGACAGGGCCAAAUGUGGAAGUGAAACGGAUGAGCCCAGUGUGCACAGGGCCAGCUCCAAGCCCAAGGGCACUGCCUCUCCCUGUGAGGAAGUGUCGGGCUUUGUGUGGCUGGUGACGGCCUUCACCUGACGUCACACGGCAGGGACAGUGGCGGGGCCUGCCAUUCCCAGUGACAGUCUAUUUUUUCUUUCUUUUUUUUUGGUACCUGGGAUCGAACUCACGACCUUGUGCUGGUCUGGCAGGUGCGCACGCCCAGUCACGUUCUUAUACAAUAAAAGUCUAGAACUGAAUCACACAAAAACAUUAAAGAAAAAAAAGGUCCAAAUAAAUAUGCUGGGUGUGGUGGCAGCACUUGGGAGGCUGAGGCAAGAGUAUCAUUGCAAAUUCAAGGCCGGCCUGGGCUACAUAGUGAGUUCCACGCCUGUUAAAAUGUGGCUUAACAUGGAUAUCAGUAUUUGGUCAAAUGUAGAAAAGGACAUUACUUUUAGUAUGCCGAGAAAAACCUUCUGACAAGUCUGUGAAAACAGAAAAGCGUUAGUGCAAUUACCAGAUUUCUCUGUGGCCCUGGGCAGUGAACCGAGGCCUUGCACUGAGCUACAUCCUCAGCCUCAGUUUAGCUGCAAACAGUGUCUCGUUAACAGCAAGUUGCCUCAGCCUUCCAGAAUGACAGGAUUACAGAUGCUCACCACCAGACGUAUUCCUUUUGCAGGGCUGGAUGUUUGCACCAGGCCUCCCACACACUAUGCAAAUGACCUACCACUAUGCUAUAAUCCCAGCCCACCGUACAUUUUUUUUGUCUUUUUUGUUUUUACCGGUAUCAGGGAUCGAACUCACGACUGCCUGCUUGCAAGACAGGCGCUUAUGCCACUGCCCCCCUCCAUACAUUUUUUGAGACAGGGUCUCACUUUGUAGUUCAGGGUAGUCUUGAAAUCACCAUGUAGCUCAAGCUGGCCUAAAACUUGCUGUGAUCUUCCUGCCUGAGCCUCCCAAGUACUGGGUACAGGCAUGCAACACCAUAUGCUUUUUUUAAUUUAAAAAAUUUUUUGGAAAAGAAGGACUUGAUAUUUUGUCCAGGUUGGUCCUGAACUCCUGGAUUCAGCUCAUCCCUCUUCUCAGCCUCCUGACGCUGGGGUACAUUGCUUACCUGGCAAGGGUGGAGAAACUCCACCAAUGGGCAUAAAUACUAAACCCUUGUUUUGUUGACAGAAUUACUUCUUUCCAUUAUUAUGCAGAUGAAAAAAUUAUAGAUAUAGGCUCAAUGCUACAAAUCAAUUGAUCCUUUCAAAUAAAACUGACAUUAGUCAAACAUG